AUUUAUGUUUCCCUUUUAGGUGUCCAUGUGUACAUCAAAACGUGCCCUGUCUGCAGAACACCUGUCAGAUUUCAGAAUUACUUGACAGGCUUCCACAACUACAAUAACAAAGUGUUUCUCACCCUUCAGUUAUGCUCUUUCAUGACAAAUUUACUGAGGACCCACACAGCUAUUGGAAGAUUCAUCAGUGCUAUGGAGCAUUGAAUUAAUUUGACAAUCCACCACAGUACCAUCCGGAGGGCAUUUUUUCACAACUCUGCACUUAUUGCUUAUGAGUAUGAUUUCUUACACAUUCUUACAAAUGUGGCCACCUUCCAAGUGGUAAUAGCAAAUGCCAACUGGAAGCUGUCUUUUGAUGUGCCAGUGAGCACACUGAGGCCAGCUACCAAAGACGUCAAGGAUGAAGAUCUUUCAGUCAACAUCACCUCAAAGUGCGACCGACUGGAAAAAGAAAUUAUAGCCAGUGGCAUCUGCGAAGACUUGAAAACUCACAACCCGUAUUCAGCGGAGUUGACACGCUCCUCUUUUGUGCCGUGGAUGGGACCAGCUACUAGAGUUGGGGAUGUGCUACCUAAGACUGAGAUCCUGAAAGGUUUCCAUAGUAAGCCAACAGCAGACCCCAAAACGCAGAAAAAUCGACGCCUCAAUGAGGAUG